ACCAAAAUCCAUGGCCUCUUUCCUAAACUAAUCUGAUGGUUUUAGAAAAGCUUGUCUAACCUUCCAUUCUCACCUCUUCUCUCGACCUUUUAAACAGGGGUUUUUCUUCCCCUUUCCUAAGAUACUAAAAAGUGAUUAUCUCCUUCCUAAGCUUUCUUACAUUUCUUCGUGAAAUCGAGAGUUGGGGGCCUUUGUGACCGUGUGAGAAAAAGAUCUAACUGAUCUUAAGUGUGUGGUCGGGUUUCUGAGUUUUCUGUGGUAUUACCGUGGGUCAGUGGUUUGGGUGCGGGACUUUUGUGACUGUAUUCCCUCGUUUCGAUCUUGCUUAAUCUGAGCCGAGUUCUUUCAACAAAAUUGUUAUUUCUGUUUAUUCUUUUAUUCAUUGUUAUCAUUCAUUUAAAUUGGUAAUAUUCAGUUUGUAAUAUUCUUAAGGAGUUUUGUACUCCAUUAUUGUAAUAGUUGAUUUGGUUAUCUUGGUGAUAUCCACUCUACAAAGAGCUAUGACAAGCCAUCAGACAUUCUAGAGGAGUUAAAUCAACUUGCUGGCUAUGCUCCUGAUGAAGAGAUAGAACUCUUCGAGGAGAUAAGUUUGAGCCCACAGUCAUGUGUGUACAUCGACACGGGACUUACAUUUACAUCUAACCAGCUAGAGAAUGGGGACAUUGUCUGGUUGAAAAGUCACUGCCUGCUCAAACAAAGAAGCUAUUUCGUUUCCCGGAUAUUCCAUCUUUCCCUGAAUACCAGCAUGGCCUUUAAGUACAUUUUCAUAAAUAUUGUGU